rnacentral:lncRNA from 1 species
CACAUUAACACACACACAGUAUUAAUGGGUAUUAAUUAGAGUAAUCACGAUACCAAAGUGAGUAAUCACGAUACGAUACCAGACAAAGUAUCACAGUUCUGAGUAAUAUUGUAAUAGUGAAGUUUUUUAUAAUUAUUAUUAUUAUUAUGAACUGUAAUAUAUUUGUAGAAGUUAUAAAUACUUAUUAAUUACUAAUAGUGUUGUUUUGGUGCAUGAUAAGAGUACAAAAUAAAAAACAAUAAAAAAACUAAUAAAUUAAAUUAUAAUUUAGAAUUUAAUCAUUCUGUUUCCUUUGUACAUUAAUUUAUGUUUAACUGAUAUGAAUAAUUAACUUAGGAUAAUAAAUCACUUAAAAAACCAACUAUUAGACAAUAAUGUUUGUUCUCAACAUAAUAAACCAUAGAGAAUAAAAUAUUAUAAACAGGAAGUGAUUCACUGGUUGUUUCUAUUGAAGUCUUCAGUUCAUUCAUUUAUCAUAUGUCUGUACGUCACCAGUAACAGACAGAAACAGUUUAUCAUAUGUCUGUACGUCACCAGUAACAGACAGAAACAGUUUAUCAUAUGUCUGUACGUCACCAGUAACAGACAGAAACAGUUUAUCACAUGUCUGUACGUCACCAGUAACAGACAGAAACAGUUUAUCAUAUGUCUGUACGUCACCAGUAACAGACAGAAACAGUUUAUCAUAUGUCUGUAUGUCACCAGUAACAGACAGAAACAGUUUAUCAUAUGUCUGUACGUCACCAGUAACAGACAAACAGUUUAUCAUAUGUCUGUACGUCACCAGUAACAGACAAACAGUUUAUCAUAUGUCUGUACGUCACCAGUAACAGACAAACAGUUUAUCAUAUGUCUGUACGUCACCAGUAACAGACAAACAGUUUAUCAUAUGUCUGUACGUCACCAGUAACAGACAGUCAUUCAGCAGCUGUAGAGCUGGGUUGCCAUGUUGGUUUGUUAAAUGAAUAGUGUUCAGUGAGUUUAGACAGUGCAGUGAAGUGAGGAGGAGAGUAUAGACAACCACUAUGUAGAGGAAACCAGUGGUAUCAUCAUCUAUGGUAGAAUUGAUACUAUAGUAGGAACUGGUACUAUCUCACACCACAGGGGACUAUGGGUAUCAUGUAGUAUGUAGUGUAUUCAUAUAUGUCUGUAUGUUGCAAUUACAAAAAUAACAAACUUGAUAUUUGGUGCCAGUGGAAUCGAUAACGUAUCGCGAGACAAAACCUCACAAUAUAUGGUAUGAAUAUAUAAACUGAUAAUAUACUGGUUACAUUGUUUAUAUUGAUUAAUCAGCAGCUCUUACCUCAUGUUCACCAAAACAGCUCCUGAAAAACACACACACAUCAUCACCAUGUAUACUACAGUGUGUGUGUACCUGUGUGUGUGUGUGUGUGUGUGUAUGUGUGUGCGUGUAUGUGUGUGUGUACCUGUGUCUGUGUGUGUGUGUACCUGUGUGUGUGUGUACCUGUGU